CAGUCUUGGGUUGUAUGUAAGUACACGUUUGCUAACCGAAAGAAUAUGCUACGACAUCAAAGACAGUUCAACCAUUACUUAGUUGGACCGGAUCAACCCGGAUCAACUCAGCAAUCCCCCAACGAAGCGACCGCGCCUCAACACACUGAUCAUCGUCAAGACCAUGUUGAUGAUGAAGUAUGGAUAGACUUGACUACAGAAGAAGAAAAUAGGGAAG